GGCCAGCAGCCGCGGUAAUACGUAGGGGGCAAGCGUUGUCCGGAAUUACUGGGCGUAAAGGGCGUGUAGGUGGGAAAUUAAGUUAUGGGUGUAAACUGCGGGCUCAACCCGGAGAUUGCCCAUAAAACUGAUUUUCUUGAGGGCAGGAGAGGAAAGUGGAAUUCCUAGUGUAGCGGUGAAAUGCGUAGAUAUUAGGAGGAACACCAGUGGCGAAGGCGACUUUCUGGACUGACCCUGACACUGAGGCGCGAAAGCUAGGGGAGCGAACGGGAUUAGAUACCCCGGUAGUCCUAGCCGUAAACGAUGGGCACUAGGUGUGGGAGGUAUCGACCCCUUCCGUGCCGCAGUUAACACAUUAAGUGCCCCGCCUGGGGAGUACGGUCGCAAGAUUGAAACUCAAAGGAAUUGACGGGGGCCCGCACA
rnacentral:rRNA from 1 species